rnacentral:rRNA from 1 species
AUGAUUUUCGAUCGCCGGAGGGCCACUCUUCACAGUGAUUCUAUCCAUCUUGCAUGCUCAGGCCUGUUGGUAGUAUCAACUGAUUCUGAAGGUUCAGUCAUGAUGAAUAUGCAUGGACUCCAGGGAUUUGUGCACAGACAUGAAACAUCAAUAGCAGUGUUGGAGGUCGAAAACACGCACACCCGCGCGGAUAGUGAAUUCGAUCAAAGAAAAACUAGGAAAAAUAAUGAAAUAAUGAAAUCUUGGUACAUCAAACUUUGUCGACCAUUCUACUCAUGUAUGAAGUUGAAGUUGAGGAAUGACACCCUAGUGAAAUAA